AUGGGCCGAAAGAAGAAGACUUUACAUGACUAUGCAGCUGAGUUUACAGACCUGGGGGUAAAACGGCAUGUGAUUGAACACAGUGAGUCUGGGGGCACCUCUGUGGUAGAGACUCUAUACUGCAAAUCCUGUGAGCUGCCCAUGAGGGUGAGGAGGGACCGCAUCCUGGAGCACCUGUCCUCUGGCAGGCAUUAUAGGAACCGUCACCGCAUGAAGCAGCGUGGAGGCCAAACUCCCAUCUUUAUAUCAGCAGCCUCAGACCUGAGUAGCCACCUCCCUGUACAGGUUGAUCCUCCUCCAGCCUUGCUUUCUCAGCCUCCCUAUGUUUUCCCAGGCGUUCCCUGCCUUACCAGUACCAGUGCCAGCAUGGUGCCUUCACCUCCUUCCUACCACAGAGCUUUGCUCCCUGCCCACCUCAGUGCUAUCAGCUCCACAACCAGUGCCGUGCCUGUCAGAGAAGACCAAACUCCAUCUACCUCCACCAACCACCCUUCUGCAUUCACGACUCUUCACGUGAAAAGCCCCGCCGUCCCCUCAGAACAGAAUAGCCAAAGGCUUAUUGUUUCAGAAGCAUCCAGCAGUGUGGCUUCUGGAAGCGGAGUAGGAUGGCUUCUUAGUGAUGGGGCUUUGGGAAGCAGCCUUGGCCUUGCUCUCUUUGGUGUAGGCUCUGGGAACAAGGCAUUGUUUCAGAGCUUAGUGGAAGAAGACAGCUGCUGCCUGCUCUACGUGGUUGAAGAUCAGCUGUCAGAUGUCGAGCAGGCCUUCAGAUCAGACCAUUUGGUGAACACCCGCGUGCUUCGGGAGCAAGAUGCCAACAUUGUACUUAAUGAUCAGCGUGUCUCUGGAGUCAUUAUCUGUUCACCCCCUGAAGCAGCUUCUGAAAUUGUGAUGGGUGCAUUGAGAGCAGGCAAAGGUGUGUUUUGUGAGAAACUCCCUAGUUUGGAUAGACAGAUUGCUGAGAUGUGUUUCGAUGAAGCUAACAGAUGUGGGAAACCAUUAGUCUGUGGAUUCUACAAGCGUUUUGAUCCAGCUUUACAAUUCUUGUACCAGAAAGUCGGUGAGAGCCGCGCGCUAGGGAGGAUACAUCGGAUAGCAGUCGUUAGCAGCAUCUAUCCACCAGCUUCUCCCAGUUUGCUAAGGAAGUCAGGUGGGAUCUUUUAUAACGCUGCUGUGCAUGACGUGGACAUCGUCAGUCUCUUGUUGGGAGAGAGUGUUCCAGACACAGUCUUUUCUUUGGGUCAUGCGUUCUGCUCAGAUGUGGCCUCUUUGAAAGAUGCAGACAGUGUCAUGGUCAGCAUGAAGUUUCCUAGUGGGGCCAUUGUUAGUUUGGAUAUCAGUCAACACUGCACCAAAAGCUGUGACCUGAGAGUGGAGGCUCAGAACCUAGAAAAAGUUUGCUUUCCUAUGAGAUUAUUAUUGUCAGUAUUGCAAAGAUCUCUAAGACUGGCGGACUUCUUAGGGGUUCAUGGUUCUCAAGGAACUUUACGGGUCGAUAAUCAGAAUCCCUUGGGGAUUACUGAGCGUGGAACCUCCGUGUCCAUAUACUCACACACACAUGUCGAUCGGUACCAAGAAGCAUAUAGAGGACUCUUUCGACACUUUCUCAGAACCCUUAAAGGAAAAGAACCCCCAACUGUCCCCAAAGAACAGUUUCUCUGGACCAUUCAGGUGGCUGCAGCAGCUGAGCAAUCCUGGCGGAAUGGGUCAGCUGUCGACUUCAGCAAUGAAGGUUGAGAUAUAAAUGCGAUGUCGGUUAUCAAGAUGGAAAUACUGUGAAGAGGGAAUAACUGACUUAAGUUUUGCUGAAGAAGACAACCUUAUACCUAUUUCCAUUUUCAUUAAUUUAAAAAAAUUAAUUGCAGUGUUUUGUGACUUUAUUUUCACUGGAAACCAUGAGCUGGGAACUUUGGGGAAAUGUGUGUAUAUGGUAAUGGUGUAGCAAGUAAUUUUCUUAGGAUGUUGUAUUAGGCCCAAAAAUGAAGCUUGAAAGGCAUCAUUCUGUUAGUGUGUAUUUUUCCUUGUGUUCGAAGGAGGCAUUUAGGUGAGAAAGGCUGACAUUUUGUUUUUAAAGAACACGUAUGCAUUAUCCAUCCUGAGAAACAUACCAGCCAUUUACUUCCCACACUGUGGCAACAAAACAUGCUUCUGUGAAAAUAGGUUUGUUGCCCCCGCAUGGAUAUGUGGUCUGUUUUGGGGGGCGAGGGCGGGGAGGAAGGAUGGAGUGAUGCUCCUUUUUCUUUUGAGACGGGGUGGGACAAACAGUCUAAGAUAGGGCUCUUUUCCCCCUCAGACAGUCAAAUCUAGAUGAGAUUGUGUAUAAAUGUUACAGAAAAAGAUAGUGCCUUCCAAAAUGGGCCACUCUGCUUUAACUCAAGUUUGGGGUUAUCUUUUUUAUUCUUAUGUCAGACUUACUGCAGAUGUUUUUAUAUAUUUGAAGAUUCUUGUCUGUAAUUUCUCAUAUCCUACUUUUUCAAAUAAAAGUAAGUUUUCUAAC
ensembl:lncRNA